UACGGGGGGGGCAAGCGUUGUUCGGAAUUACUGGGCGUAAAGGGCUCGUAGGCGGCCAACUAAGUCGGAUGUGAAAUCCCCAAGCUUAACUUGGGAACUGCAUCCGAUACUGGAUGGCUUGAAUCCGGGAGAGGGAUGCAGAAUUCCAGGUGUAGCGGUGAAAUGCGUAGAUAUCUGGAGGAACACCGGUGGCGAAGGCGGCAUCCUGGACCGGCAUUGACGCUGAGGCGCGAAAGCCAGGGGAGCAAACGGG
rnacentral:rRNA from 1 species